rnacentral:misc_RNA from 1 species
UCGAGUUUUGAACGGGUUGUUGCUGGCCUCAUACGGGGCAUGUGCACGCCUGACUUCAUCCACUCUUCAACCCCUGUGCACUUAUUGUAGGCUAGCGUGAAAGGUCGCAUUCAUUUGCGGCUGGAAGCCUGUCUACGUUUUACUACAAACGCUUCAGUUAUAGAAUGUUUAUCUGCGUAUAACGCAUUUAUAUACAACUUUCAGCAACGGAUCUCUUGGCUCUCGCAUCGAUGAAGAACGCAGCGAAAUGCGAUAAGUAAUGUGAAUUGCAGAAUUCAGUGAAUCAUCGAAUCUUUGAACGCACCUUGCGCUCCCUGGUAUUCCGGGGAGCAUGCCUGUUUGAGUGAUCGGCUACUUGGUCAUUUAGAGGAAGUAAAAGUCGUAACAAGGUUUCCGUAGGUGAACCUGCGGAAGGAUCAUUAACGAGUUUUAAUUGUUAAGGUUGGAGUUGAGCUGGUUAAUCUAAUUAAUAUGUGCUUACUCUAAUCGAAACAAGUCCACUCAUUACCUUAACACCUGUGAACUUAUUCAUUACAAACAUUAUUAUUUGUUAUUGGAACGUUUGAUUAUUAAAAAGUUAAUA